UACAGAGGGUGCAAGCGUUAAUCGGAUUUAUUGGGCGUAAAGAGCUCGUAGGCGGCUCGUUGCGUCGGCUGUGAAAACCCGCAGCUCAACUGUGGGCUUGCAGCUGAUACGGGCGGGCUGGAGUUCGGUAGGGGAGACUGGAAUUCCUGGUGUAGCGGUGAAAUGCGCAGAUAUCAGGAGGAACACCGGUGGCGAAGGCGGGUCUCUGGGCCGAUACUGACGCUGAGGAGCGAAAGCGUGGGGAGCGAACAGG
rnacentral:rRNA from 1 species